GAUGAACGCUGGCGGCGUGCCUAAUACAUGCAAGUCGAGCGAACAGACGAGGAGCUUGCUCCUCUGACGUUAGCGGCGGACGGGUGAGUAACACGUGGAUAACCUACCUAUAAGACUGGGAUAACUUCGGGAAACCGGAGCUAAUACCGGAUAAUAUAUUGAACCGCAUGGUUCAAUAGUGAAAGACGGUUUUGCUGUCACUUAUAGAUGGAUCCGCGCCGCAUUAGCUAGUUGGUAAGGUAACGGCUUACCAAGGCAACGAUGCGUAGCCGACCUGAGAGGGUAAUCGGCCACACUGGAACUGAGACACGGUCCAGACUCCUACGGGAGGCAGCAGUAGGGAAUCUUCCGCAAUGGGCGAAAGCCUGACGGAGCAACGCCGCGGGAGUGAUGAAGGUCUUCGGAUCGUAAAACUCUGUUAUUAGGGAAGAACAAAUGUGUAAGUAACUAUGCACGUCUUGACGGUACCUAAUCAGAAAGCCACGGCUAACUACGU
rnacentral:rRNA from 1 species